rnacentral:tRNA from 1 species
AAAGCUUUAAGUUACCCAAACUAUUAUCCUUCAAAGUUAAAAAGACAGCCCCACGCUGUAAGCUUUA